rnacentral:rRNA from 1 species
GAUGAACGCUGGCGGCGUGCCUAAUACAUGCAAGUCGAGCGAACAGACGAGGAGCUUGCUCCUCUGACGUUAGCGGCGGACGGGUGAGUAACACGUAGAUAACCUACCUAUAAGACUGGGAUAACUUCGGGAAACCGGAGCUAAUACCGGAUAAUAUAUUGAACCUCAUGGUUCAAUAGUGAAAGACGGUUUUGCUGUCACUUAUAGAUGGAUCCGCGCCGCAUUAGCUAGUUGGUAAGGUAACGGCUUACCAAGGCAACGAUGCGUAGCCGACCUGAGAGGGUGAUCGGCCACACUGGAACUGAGACACGGUCCAGACUCCUACGGGAGGCAGCAGUAGGGAAUCUUCCGCAAUGGGCGAAAGCCUGACGGAGCAACGCCGCGUGAGUGAUGAAGGUCUUCGGAUCGUAAAACUCUGUUAUUAGGGAAGAACAAAUGUGUAAGUAACUAUGCACGUCUUGACGGUACCUAAUCAGAAAGCCACGGCUAACUACGUG